UUCAACAGGGGUGAAAUCUGUAUACACCAUGAAUUUUUUGAUUAAAGUACCUUUUAGGUGGUCAAAUGACUAGGAUUAGAUACCCUAUUAGUCCACUCUUAAUUAACCUGGGUAGUAGUAUCGAAACCUAAAGAAUUUGGCGGUUUCUAAACCUACUAGAGGAACCUGCCCCAUAAACGACAAUCCACGAAAAAAUUCACCCGGGCUAGUUAUGCAGCUUAUAUACCGUCGUUCAGAGGACUAAAUAAAUAGAUCCUCUUAAAAGCUUAGGCUAAUAAAUCAGAUCAAGGUGUAGCUUAUGCCCGGGAGAGGGUGGGUUACAAUGAAAAUUCAUACGGAAUUUCUAUUUUGUGAUAGAAAAGAAGGUGGAUUUAGAAGUAAGGCUUAAUAUACUGAAAAAGGCUCUCAGAAAUGUACAC
rnacentral:rRNA from 1 species